rnacentral:rRNA from 1 species
UCCUACGGGGGGCAGCAGUGGGGAAUAUUGGGCAAUGGGCGCAAGCCUGACCCAGCCAUGCCGCGUGAGUGAUGAAGGCCUUCGGGUCGUAAAGCUCUGUGGGGAGGGAAGAAACAGCUUGUGGCUAACAUCCACGAGCCCUGACGGUACCUCCUUAGCAAGCACCGGCUAACUCCGUGCCAGCAGCCGCGGUAAUACGGAGGGUGCAAACGUUGCUCGGAAUCAUUGGGCGUAAAGCGCACGUAGGCGGCCUGUUAAGUCGGGUGUGAAAGCCCUGGGCUCAACCCAGGAAGUGCACUCGAAACUGGCAGGCUUGAAUAUGGAAGAGGGUUGCGGAAUUCCCGGUGUAGAGGUGAAAUUCGUAGAUAUCGGGAGGAACACCAGUGGCGAAGGCGGCAACCUGGGCCAAUAUUGACGCUGAGGUGCGAAAGCGUGGGGAGCAAACAGGAUUAGAUACCCCGGUAGA